AAGGAUGUGUGCUGCAGACUCCUGCAGAGGAACUAUUGACUCUUCAGACUGUUGUGGUCAUGGACCUGGACUAUGCUGCAGAGCACCAGCUGACCAUGGAGAUUGAUGGGGAGACUUGGCCUCUGACAGCCAAGGGGAUGCCCGAGAUAGACUUUAUGGACCCCGCAGACCCCCUCAUGUCAAGAAGAGAAAGUGGAUGCCUGGGAUGCAGAGAGUGGAGGAGGCUGUUUGUGUAUUGGCUGAGCAGCUACAGUGGCUGCAGACAAUCCUUCUGCAGGAGCAGCAGCAGGUGGCAGGCACAGUGGGCCCAGCAGCAUUGGCAGAGAGAUCACUGACGCCAGCAGGCUACCCUGAGAGUGCUUUCACCCUUGAGGGAAAAUACAGAAAGAGAUGUGCCGUUGGAUGACAAUGCCAAGCUUACUUAGCCAGAAUGGCUGACAUCCAUUUAAACAUCACCUGGACAAGUGCACCAUUCUCAACCUCUACAACCUUGAGGGCUCAGCUAUAUGAAGAAGAGGAGGAUGGUCAUGCUCUCAGUGUCAUUGACAAGACAUGAAACUCUUUGUCACUUUCAGUUUUUCAAGAGGGUCACAGGAAAUCCCAUGGACAUGCACUUGCAUUACUUGCCUCAGAUCUAGGACACAAUGCUUGCUCAUGAGAUUUUAAAGUGCAUUCACUCUCCCAGCCUACUGACAGGUAUGCAGAAUGUCUAACUAGGUUUCUAUGGCAUUUACGAUGACCAUUAUUUUACAACUAAACAAAUACACAGAGGAAAUGAAUGCUGAUAGAAAAUAAAA